UAGGGAAUCUUCGGCAAUGGACGAAAGUCUGACCGAGCAACGCCGCGUGAGUGAAGAAGGUUUUCGGAUCGUAAAACUCUGUUGUUAGAGAAGAACAAGGACGUUAGUAACUGAACGUCCCCUGACGGUAUCUAACCAGAAAGCCACGGCUAACUACGUGCCAGCAGCCGCGGUAAUACGUAGGUGGCAAGCGUUGUCCGGAUUUAUUGGGUGUAAAGCGAGCGCAGGCGGUUUCUUAAGUCUGAUGUGAAAGCCCCCGGCUCAACCGGGGAGGGUCAUUGGAAACUGGGGUACUUGGGUGCAGAAGGGGAGAGUGGAAUUCCAUGUGUGGCGAUGAAAUGCGUUGAUGUAUGGAGGAACACCAGUGGCGAAGGCGGCUCUCUGGUCUGUAACUGACGCUGGGGCUCGAAAGCGUGGGGAGCAAACAGG
rnacentral:rRNA from 1 species